UGUCAGGGAUGGGAAUCGAACCCACAGUGUUCCGCUUACCGGGCAGAUGCCAUGUCCACUAGGUUACCCUGGAC
rnacentral:tRNA from 1 species